AAUUCCUUGUCCGCCCUGACAGUACGAGAACAACUGUGAGGUGUUGUUAAGAACAACUUUGAGCCAACUCCCAUUUGUGCACAUCAGCUGGGUCAGCAGGAAUCUCAGAUGAAAGAUCCCUUGAGGUUUGUACCAGAUGUCCUCAGAGCCCAAGGGUAAGAGGAACAAGACACACUCAAACCAUUAAU